rnacentral:lncRNA from 1 species
AAUGAAGUUGCUUUUUUUUCUUCUCUCUGAGCCAAUAAGUCUCCAGGGUGAGCCCUGGCUCGGGGGCUGAGGAGCACUCCCAGACAACACUGCAAGGCAGAGGGUUCACCAACCCGGGAACGGCGACAGCUGCAGCCCCAAUCAUGCAGUGAUGCUUUCCAUUUCAGUUCAGUUACAAGGGGAGCCAAGUACCUCGCUCAUCUGCAGACUGUGUACGGCGUCACUGACUUCCAGGACUGGCAAAGGGAUGGGCCCAGAUACAUAACACAAGGAAACUACAUUUCAUAGAAGGCUCAAAGUUCUACGGCUUGACUAAUGGAACAACCUACUUUGCCUGGGAGACAGAAGAGGCGAGUGGAUACGCAUCAAACAAUCUCAAAGUCAGCCUAAGUCUCAAGCUCCAAGCAGACAAUUUCUCUAGAAUGUAAUAUGUAUGCUAAGAAG